rnacentral:rRNA from 1 species
UGAACGUUGGCGGCGUGCCUAAUACAUGCAAGUCGAACGAGGACCCGGUAUUUAUAUCGGUGUUCCUAGUGGCGAACGGGUGAGUAACGCGUUGGUGAUCUGCCCCGGAGAGGGGGAUAACAGCUGGAAACGGCUGCUAAUACCCCAUAUGAUCAUAGGAGUUAGAGGUCCCAUGAUUAAAGGAGUAAUCCGCUUCGGGAGGAACCUGCGUCCCAUCAGCUAGUUGGUAGGGUAAUGGCCUACCAAGGCGACGACGGGUAGGGGACCUGAGAGGGUGGCCCCCCACACUGGAACUGAAACACGGUCCAGACACCUACGGGUGGCAGCAGUAGGGAAUAUUGCCCAAUGGACGAAAGUCUGAGGCAGCAACGCCGCGUGAGUGAUGACGGCCUUCGGGUUGUAAAACUCUUUUACGUGGGAAGAGAAAGGACGGUACCACGUGAAUAAGGAUCGGCUAACUAC